UACGUAGGGCGCAAGCGUUGUCCGGAAUUAUUGGGCGUAAAGAGCGCGCAGGCGGUCGAUCAAGUCGCGUGUGAAAGCCCCCGGCUCAACUGGGGAGGGUCACGCGAUACUGAUCGACUCGAAGGCAGGAGAGGGUAGUGGAAUUCCCGGUGUAGUGGUGAAAUGCGUAGAUAUCGGGAGGAACACCAGUGGCGAAGGCGACUACCUGGCCUGUUCUUGACGCUGAGGCGCGAAAGCUAGGGGAGCAAACGGG
rnacentral:rRNA from 1 species